rnacentral:rRNA from 1 species
GAUGAACGCUGGCGGCGUGCCUAAUACAUGCAAGUCGAGCGAACAGACGAGGAGCUUGCUCCUCUGACGUUAGCGGCGGACGGGGGAGUACCACGUGGAUAACCUCCCUAUAAGACUGGGAUAACUUCGGGAACCCGGAGCUAAUACCGGGUAAUAUAUUGAACCGCAUGGUUCAAUAGUGAAAGACGGUUUUGCUGUCACUUAUAGAUGGAUCCGCGCCGCAUUAGCUAGUUGGUAAGGUAACGGCUUACCAAGGCGAGGAUGCGUAGCCGACCUGAGAGGGUGAUAGGCCACACGGGAACUGAGACACGGUCCAGACUCCGACGGGAGGCAGCAGUAGGGAAUCUUCCGCAAUGGGCGAAAGCCUGACGGAGCAACGCCGCGUGAGUGAUGAAGGUCUUCGGAUCGUAAAACUCUGUUAUUAGGGAAGAACAAAUGUGUAAGUAACUAGGCACGUCUUGACGGUACCUAAUCAGAAAGCCACGGCUAACUACGUG